rnacentral:lncRNA from 1 species
GCUUUCUCAAGUGGCUUAGUGUCUCCACUCAGGGGUGGUGGAGCUCUUCUUCUCACUGCUUCUUCUCAUUUUUUUCAUGCUCUGGCCUAAUGUCUUGGUGGUAUUAGCCUAGCACAACUUCAGUUGCACUGCAGGUUCUUCAUAAAAUUGAAACACUGUUUCCAGAUUUGGAUUUUCUUCUGCUCUGCCAUGGGUUGUUCACAUUCUCUCAAGGUUGUUACUACUGUUUUACCUUUUUCUACUUGAUAAUUUUGGAAACCGGUAUGUGUGGGGAGACAAGGAUUGAUGGUGGUCUGGAUGUAAGCACUGAAGAACCACAGUAGUGUGAUGACCUUACAGAUUUGAUUCUAGUGAAGGAAUGGACUUUAAAAUCUUACCACUGUCAUUGGCCUUGAGAAACUUCUAAGUAAGUUAAACAGGCUUGAUGGAGGCCCUACAGUGACUAUUCAUUGGCUGAGCCUUUGGAUUAUCUUGGGAGGACCCUGAAAGAAUGACCUGGCCGGAAGAUUGUCCCAUCCUGCAUGAGGAGGGAAGAAUGAGCCUCACUCUACACCCAGAAUGCCAACUACAUUUUCAUCCAGUCCUCAAAAAAUAUCAUGCGCACCCAGAUUCUCCUGGUCAGACCAACACUGUGGAAACCCACUGGAUGCAUUCAGAGGGAUCACUGAUAAUGAAGAAUGAGAUGCCGUCAUCCAUCUGUAGGAAGAUGCUGCGUGUGCCAUAGAACCCAAAAGUCAUCUAUUGCAAGAGAGAAUCGAUUCUCCCAAGUAAACGGGGCCCUAUUAGUUUAAAAACUAAUGCAGCACAGAGAGAAAUCAGGUUCCUCAGACAAUGUUGAUUCUGUUUCCUUUUGAACCAUUAACAGCCUCACUUAAAGCCAUGUAUUGAAAGCUGCGACUUAACGUUAACCACAGUUUCUAAUGCAUUAAACAAAUGGCAAGGAUGACUGUAGGUCAUAGCCCCCUCCCUUCACACAUUAUACGCAAAUGCUUAUCUACUGGGUAUUUAAAGGAGAAAAGUUACAUCUAAACUCACUCCAUAAUGUAUGCUUUCAGCGUGGGAUGCUAAGCAAGUUCUGAUUUUGCGAGCUCAGAGUCACGCUAAAUGCCGGGAAUACAGGUUUCUUCUCAGAAAGGGCGGGCGGCUUUGGCUAAUGUCCUGGGGGAUGUCUUCAAAAUGCAAAGUGUGUGUCUGACCAUGGCCAUGGCAGUCUCAAGUUCCUUUGCCAAGGACUUUGGGGAAAUUCUUCCUCAGGAAACUCACAUAGCGGGAAGAGCAAGAGAGUCACAAAUAGUGCUUAAACCUGGGGUCUAUACCUUUUAACUCUUCAAACAGACAACAGCAGUAAAAAGAGCUCUGCUGCCAGUCUUCAGAGUCUUAACUGAGUUGGAGGCGAACUAUUGUGAAGUAUAAUGUAGUUAGUGACUCUGAAGUUAGUCCACAGAAAGCCAUUCUUUUUAAAUGGACCUACACAACAAUUGCCCCGCACACAAACUGCACAUGCAAUAUUCAAAGCCACUGCUAGGUGCGUUGCUGAGUGCAGAGAGCUGUGCUCCCAGAACCAUCAAGUCAACACGCCAGCUGCUCAGCAUUAUUUACAAUAUAUUGGCUUCACCACUGACCUAAAGAGCUGAAGAAAAUAACAGGCCAUAUUUUCAGCUUGGUAAAAGCCUGCAGUGGGGAGCCCUUUCACAACAAUUACAAGCAUUUGCUCGGAAUGCAUUUGCUGAUUUAACAAACUGGAGAGGACAAAUGUUUAACAUGCUGUCGUGAGGCUGUUCAGUCGCUUUUCUUGGUAUCCGUUGAUCUGAGAUAAUGUGUUCUUGCCCAAUCAUGCUACAAAGAAGCAGCGGAAAUAAAUAAAUAAAUAGAUGUAAUGCGAUGCGUUCCCACAAUAGCUGAGCUGCUGACGGCCCCUGACAGAUGGAAAGAAAAAAAAAAAAAAGUCAAUAUGAUGUCUGAGACAGCCCAGGCUCGGCACUGCAGAAUAAAUUACAUGAUUCGCCGAAUGCUUGGGCCUCGCUCAGACAUUCAAAAAAAAAAAAAAUUGGAAAGAUAAAAGCUUGCAUUGGCUUCAGAUGAUAUUUACUGCUUGAUGGAUUUACUAGCAGCACCAGUACAGUCGUACUGUAUUGAAUUAUUGGCCUCUAUUUAGCUGUGUGUCUGUCGGCGCUCGAGUGUCCAUUUAAGCAUAAGUGAGCUGGAGACCUGCCAAGCCCCUUUGAGGCUCCGGGUGCAGAGAAAGACGCAGGCUAAUGGCCACCAGCUUGAAUAACAGGGAGUGUAAGGACAUUGGGGGAGGCAACAAAGCCCAGCUACAAAGUACUUGCUUAUCAAUAUUAAUGCCAAAAUAAAUAUUAAUGGAGGCUGCCCGGCAUAGCA